CUCCAGAAGCGGCAACGAUGCCGUUACCAAAGUGGUUAGCUGCUUCUCCUUCACUCGCAGAAAAAUUUCCCAAGAGAUUUCACAUUCCAGUGGAUAUGCUUCGUUUUGCUCCAAAAGUACAUGCUUUUCCCCUUUCCUCUGGACAGUUUCUGGGCGAUUCCUAUCUUCCAGGCGAUGAGAGGGAGAUGACGGUUUCACUUGAAUGUGCUUCCUUUCCUACAUGUUCUUUUCCCCCCUCGGAUCCAAACGGGGCCUAAUUGAUAUUUCUACGAUUUUAUCUUAUCCCACAUUAUCCUCUCGUGAUACUUUGUCGAGCUGGGCCAAUGGGGUGCGAGAUUGGUAGGGCGCCCAUUGCUCUCACUCGCUCCCGCCGGUUGCUCGAUGCGCCACAGCGCCAGGACACCCGCGCGGAGGGAAAAAAAGCGAGCACUUGC
rnacentral:lncRNA from 1 species